rnacentral:rRNA from 1 species
AGGACGAACGCUGGCGGCGUGCUUAACACAUGCAAGUCGAGCGGAAAGGCCCUUCGGGGUACUCGAGCGGCGAACGGGUGAGUAACACGUGAGCAACCUGCCCUUAGCUCUGGGAUAGCUCCGGGAAACCGGAAUUAAUACCGGAUAUUACACCGGCUGGCAUCGGCUGGUGUGGAAAGAUUUAUCGGCUAAGGAUGGACUCGCGGCCUAUCAGCUUGGUUGGUGGGGUAGAAGCCUACCAAGGCGACGACGGGUA